UUCUGGGUCUGCUUGAAUUGGGGUUUAGUCCCUGUGUCUUGAUACAGCCCUGAUUUUGUUCUGCCUUGCUGCUUAAUUAAAAAAAUAGUUUAAGGUGUCCUGCAUAAGUGAUAUAUAUUUUUCCCUAUAUGAAGUCAUUCUUUUUUGAAUGACCCCCCCCCCACAAAAAAAAAAAAAUCCCACAUGCAUACUACCCUUUAGGGCUAAGCCCCGGGUGUUUCAAAUGUCUGGCUCCGCCUCUGGUCUCAACCAAGUACUGUAUGGUUUUUAUAUUUUUAGUAGUGUGUCACACAAACAGCAAAUAUUGUCAAAAAGAGUAAGAAAUCUCUGGGGGUGUUUUGAUUCAUUUUGGGGGUGCUUCAGCACCCCCAAAAAUGGGCUAAAAACGCCCCUGUCCCCACCAAUAAUUUGAUCUCUUCGAGUAAAGAAAGAGAAACCCGAUAGAAAGAAAAAAAAACGAUCUGUCAGCGUCUCAUUCACCCAGUGGUGCAGAAAGAGUUAAAUUACAUUCUCUACUGGAGUUCUACCUCAUGUGACAAAUAUGGCUAAUGUGAUUCGCUGUGCCUUUCAGGGAGCUCUGUUUAGUUUUAGCACACCCGAGCCUCAACUCCCGCGGCCCGGUACCAAAUGACUCACGGACCGUGGCCUGGGGGUUGGGGACCGCUGCCUUACAGCAUAGCAGCAUAGGAUCAAUGGAUCAGUCGUGGAUUCAGCAAAAGGUUUAAGUUUCUUCUUCAUAUGGCUAUUCUUCUGUAGUCUUUUUUAAAUUAAUUUAUUUUCUUUGUUUUCUGAUAUUUAUUUUUUUCAAUGCAUUUCUUAAAUAAAUUACUAAAAUGUUUUUUACAGAUAAAAGGAAGCCUCAGAUCAUUGGAAAUACAACCGUUAAACUGGGAGAUGUUCUGAAUCUGACCUGCAGUGUUGAAAGUUUCCCCCCAGCUCUUAUAGUCUGGAGAAGUACCACCACAAUCCUUCUGACUAAAACUUAUCCUGAUCUGCACAAUGACACUGGAUCAGCUACACUUGUCAUUCAGAAUGUGAUAGCAGAACAUUCUGGACAGUACAUCUGUGCAACCAAAUAUCUGCACACAACUGUGACUUCAUAUGUCAAUGUGACCGUGACAUGGUUUUCAAAAAUAGUGAAUGGCUCUGGAUGUGUGCUUCAGGCAGAGGUUUUGACCUGUGUGUGUCUCAGUGAAGGGUUUCCUUUACCGACUGUCAAUUGGCCAUUUCUGAAGAACCGCACUGAUUACUCUGCCCUUACCACUGUGUCAAACCACACAGUAAACAGCACAGUCAGUUUAACUGUGAAAAACAAUGGCAACACUACUUUUGAAUGUAUCAGCAACAAUGGAAUGGGGGAAGCAAAAGAAAGUCUCACAAUCCAAAAAAACUUGCCAGACAAUAAUAGUAAGUAUUUCCAACUACACACUUUUGAACACCAACUUAACCUCUUAGGACCACAUUUGUUAAUGCAAUCUUUGUAAAAACACAAUCUUCGAACACACAUUUACAUGUAAUGUAUGCAUUUUAAGCAACACGGAACCAACUUUCUUCCUUUUUUAAAUUCACUUCAAUUCACAGUUUUUAGGCUGGAAUACGUGAACGUCAUCAUUGUCUUUUUCACUGGGGCAGUUCUUGCAACAAUCAUUUGCUUUUUAGCUAAAAAUUGCUACAGAAAAAAUCAGAACAUUCAAAAAUUGAGAAAUUCAGAUGAGAUUUUGGAGAUGGAGACACAUCAAAAUAAACUGGUAUUAAUUCAUCAGACAUUUUUUGAUUUACUUGUCAAAAUAUGAGUUUCUGCACAAAUUUUGAUAUCUUUGAAGCAUCCAUAGUUUACUUGUUUACAUUUUACUGUAAGUUCCUACAUAAAGGUUCUGAAAGAAAGUAGUUCAGAUUAAGAUUAGCCUUAAUAAUAAGAUUAUUUAGAUUUUUUAAUUAACUCCUUGUAUACAGUGGUGUGAAAAAGUGGUUGCCCCAUCCUAGUUUCCUAUUUUAUUUGUAUGUUUGUCACACUUAAAUAUUUCAGAUCAUAAAACAACUUUAGAUAUUAGACAAAGAAAAAAGUCAACACAAAAGGCAGUUUACUUAGGCCACUCCUAAGUCUUCAGUUUGUUUUUCCUAAGCCAUUCAGAGGUGGACUUGCUGGUGAGUUUUGGAUCACUGGCAAAACAGUUUUUUUCCCCUUUAUGCUCAUUUACUCAACACUGGUUUUCAUCUUGGAACUCUCCCAUGGAUGCCAUUUUUGCCCAUUUUUGCUUAUGGUGGCGUCACGCACACUGGCCUUAACUGAGGCAAGUGAGGCCUGCAGUUCUUUGGAUGUUGUUCUGGGGUCUUUUGUGACCUCUUGAAUGAGUUUUCACAAUGUUUUUAGGUUUUAGGGCAAUUUUGGUUGGCGGGCCACUCCAGAUCACCACUAUUCCAUGUUUUUGCCAUUUGUGGAUAAUGCCUCUCACUGUGGUUCGCGUGGAUUCCCACAGAUUUAGAAAUGUCUUUAGAACCUUUUCCAGACUGAUACAUCUCAAUUACCUUGUUUCUUAUUUGUUGUUGACUUUCUUUGUAUUGCAACAUGAUUUUGAGGCCUACUCAACUUUGUCAUGCAGGUCCUAUUUAGAGUAAGUGAUUUCUUGAUUGAAAAUGGGUGUGGCAGUAAUCAGGCAUGGGUGCGGCGAGAGAAAUUAAACUCCGCUUUCCAAAGAUGAGAUACACCACCAUAACUUUUUUACACAGGGCCAUGCAGCUUCGGAUUUUUUUUUUAAGCUUCAGUUCUUUCAUCAAGCUGAUUGAUAAAAAGAAAAAUAACCCAGAAUGAAACAAUGUAAAUGUACAAGACAGACAAGAUGAGUCUCUCUUCCUUUGUUUUUAACAGGUAUAUAAUAGUCAAGCAUUACAAGACACUCAGACCCUGAGCUCAAACAGUGGGCCAAAGGAGGUGGAGUAUGCCAAUAUAGAUUUUUCCCUGCUGAAAAGAAACAGUGGCAGGGAGGCAGCAAGGAAGCAAGAGAGCACAAAGACAGACUAUGCUGAAAUUAAGAAAGUGGUCAAAGAACAAUGGGGAGAUGAUGCUGGGGAGGAAGGAGACAUAUUGGAGGGCCAAGAGAAGAAUGUGAUAAUGGAGUUGAAACACUGUGAACCAGAAAGGGUAGAAGGGCGAAAUGAGGCAGUGAAUGAAACGUGAAUGUUAUAACUAGAGAUGGACCGAUCCGAUAUUACGUAUCAGUAUCGGUCCGAUACUGACCUAAAUUACUGGAUCGGAUAUCGGCGAGAAAUAAAAAAUGUAAUCCGAUCCAUUAAAUAUCAAAAAAACACCUCACAAAACUUGCGACAAGGCGUAACUCGGCUCAUAACCGUAGCAAGUAGGAGCAGUAUGCCUCACGUGAUAGAGCGGCUGUGUGUAUUUGGAGCCUCGCUACCAAACCAGCAUUUCAUCUCCGAGGAAGUUAUCCCAGAGAGAAGUAAAGCAAGUGUGUAAGUUCAUCUCUGAAUGUUUGUAAAGCAUUCCCGCGUUAAGCUUAACAACCGAUAUAUGGAGCGACUGCCUCUCUCUCUCCUGCUGCUACUUCAAUCGUGAAACUGCUUAAUGAUCAGCUGAUCGGCUUUUCUGUGCGAGUCCAUCUCUCUUUUUUUGUAUUUGGCCCACUUUGCACCAGAACGAGGAAACCAGCGGCAGAACAACAGCAGCACGUUUAAACUUGAUAAGCUGUUGUUAGAAUUUAUUUAAUAUUACUUUCUAGACCAGGAUCUUUUUCUACGUAGCUGACGGCUGGUAACUGUGCAGGGGCGGAUCUAGCAAAGUUUAGCCAGGGGGGCCGAUAGGGCAUGAACAGGGAAAAGGGGGCACAAAGACAUACUUUUCUUCCUUAUUCUCAUUUGAAAUGUCUAGCUUAUAAUAAAUAAUUAUCUGAAUCUUACACCCAAAGUUUUAAUCUGAUGUAAAAUGUAUAGAAGUCCAUUACUGUAUAUAGUAACUGUUAAGUCUAAUAUACCCUAGUAAGCUAGUACUUUUUCCUUUGGGAAGGUACCAUCUGUGCAGUCUGCAAUUCUGUUGAAGAAAGAUGUUGAAUCUAUUUAAUUAUUCUUGAAAAAUAAUUUAUUUCUGUGCAUUUUUUUUCACCCUGCAUCAAAUUAAAGUUGAUUACAUCGAUUAAGCAUCAUGAGGUGGAGGGUGGGGGG
ensembl:lncRNA